UACCACGAAGGGCCUGACGAAGUCUAAGUGUCGACAAUUGCCUGCCACGCAGGGCCUGACAACGUCUUGAAGAUGACACUUGCCUACCACGAAGGGCCUGACAAGGUCUAAGUGGCGACAAUUGCCUACCCCGAAGGGCCUGACAAUGCCAAAAGUGACCACCUGCCGAAGAGGCUACCAUCGAAUGGUCAGCGAGUCCUCCCGAUCCUCCUAACACCAAUGAACUGAGCAGCAACAGAGACAAAAUUUGAGAAAAGAGGAACUUUUAUUGAUGAUGAUGUAAACAUUUACAUACUUCCGAUAUACUGAUAUUGAAUCUACUGAAAGUA
rnacentral:lncRNA from 1 species